UACGGGAGGGUGCAAGCGUUAUCCGGAUUCACUGGGUUUAAAGGGUGCGUAGGUGGGCUGGUAAGUCAGUGGUGAAAUCUCCAGGCUUAACUUGGAAACUGCCAUUGAUACUAUCAGUCUUGAAUACCGUGGAGGUCAGCGGAAUAUGUCAUGUAGCGGUGAAAUGCUUAGAUAUGACAUAGAACACCAAUUGCGAAGGCAGCUGGCUACACGAAUAUUGACACUGAUGCACGAAAGCGUGGGGAUCAAACAGG
rnacentral:rRNA from 1 species